GACAGAGGUUGCAAACGUUGUUCGGAAUUACUGGGCAUAAAGCGCACGUAGGCGGUCCGUUAAGUCAUGUGUGAAAUCCCCCGGCUCAACCGGGGAAUUGCGCAUGAUACUGGCGGGCUAGAGAUCGAUAGGGGUGAGCGGAACUCCAGGUGGAGCGGUGAAAUGCGUAGAUAUCUGGAGGAACACCGGUGGCGAAAGCGGCUCACUGGAUCGAAACUGACGCUGAGGUGCGAAAGCUAGGGUAGCAAACGGG
rnacentral:rRNA from 1 species